rnacentral:tRNA from 1 species
UGUAGAAUAAGUUUAGCUUAAGCUGUUGGGCUUAUGCUCUAAUAAUGAGGUAAGGCCUCUUCUGUAA